CCUACGGGAGGCAGCAGUGGGGAAUAUUGCACAAUGGGGGAAACCCUGAUGCAGCGACGCCGCGUGAAGGAAGAAGUAUUUCGGUAUGUAAACUUCUAUCAGCAGGGAAGAAAAUGACGGUACCUGACUAAGAAGCCCCGGCUAACUACGUGCCAGCAGCCGCGGUAAUACGUAGGGGGCAAGCGUUAUCCGGAUUUACUGGGUGUAAAGGGAGCGUAGGCGGUUUAGCAAGUCAGAAGUGAAAGCCCGGGGCUCAACUCCGGGACUGCUUUUGAAACUGCAUCCCUUGAGUGCGCGAGAAGUAUGCGGAAUGCGUGGUGUAGCGGUGAAAUGCAUAGAUAUCACGCAGAACUCCGAUUGCGAAGGCAGCAUACCGGCGCGCAACUGACGCUCAUGCACGAAAGCGUGGGGAUCAAACAGGAUUAGAUACCCUUGUAGUC
rnacentral:rRNA from 1 species